rnacentral:rRNA from 1 species
GACGGACCACCCGAACGUUAUUCGGAAUCACUGGGCUUAAAGGGCGCGUAGGCGGGCUGCCAAGUCAGGGGUGAAAGCCCACGGCUCAACCGUGGAAGUGCCUUUGAUACUGGCGGCCUUGAGGGAGGUAGGGGCGUGCGGAACUUCCGGUGGAGCGGUGAAAUGCGUAGAUAUCGGAAGGAACACCGGUGGCGAAAGCGGCGCGCUGGACCUCUUCUGACGCUGAGGCGCGAAAGCCAGGGGAGCAAACGGG